AAGAAAAAACAAUCGAUACUAAGAGAUUAUAUCCAGAUUUUCCUCGACAAAUAACAAGUGGAUCUAAAAAAA
rnacentral:tRNA from 1 species